GUGGGGGAUAUUGCACAAUGGAGGAAACUCUGAUGCAGCAACGCCGCGUGAGGGAAGAAGGUCUUCGGAUUGUAAACCUUUGUUUUUGGUGACGAAACAUGACGGUAGCCAAAGAGGAAGCCACGGCUAACUACGUGCCAGCAGCCGCGGUAAUACGUAGGUGGCAAGCGUUGUCCGGAAUUACUGGGUGUAAAGGGAGCGCAGGCGGGACAGCAAGUUGGAUGUGAAAUACCGAGGCUUAACCUCGGGGCUGCAUCCAAAACUGUUGUUCUUGAGUGAAGUAGAGGUAGGCGGAAUUCCGAGUGUAGCGGUGAAAUGCGUAGAUAUUCGGAGGAACACCAGUGGCGAAGGCGGCCUACUGGGCUUUAACUGACGCUGAGGCUCGAAAGCAUGGGGAGCAAACAGG
rnacentral:rRNA from 1 species